rnacentral:rRNA from 1 species
UAUUCUAUAACAUAAAACCAAGCNGGAUACUACAAACCCUGUUUAAAAUUCAAAGAACUUGGCGGUAUCUUAUACAGUCAGGGGAACCUGUCCCUUAAUUCGAUAAUCCACGAAUGUCAUACCAUUUCUUGUUUAACAGCUUGUGUACUGCCGUCGAAUGUACACCUCAAAGAGGAAGUGUACAACAAUGAUCACCAUUGACGUCAGGUCAAGGUGCAGCUAAUGAAAUGGGGGAGAUGGGUUACAACUUCAAAAAAAGCCAAAAACUUAUAAAAACAAGUAAAAAAGAUGGACUUGAAAGUAAUAAUUUUCACUUAAUAAUUAUGAAUUGGAAUCUAAGAUAUGCACACAUCGCCCGUCGCUCUCGUCGAAAGAUG